rnacentral:rRNA from 1 species
ACUCAAAUGAAUUGACGGGGGCCCGCACAAGCGGUGGAGUAUGUGGUUUAAUUCGAAGCAACGCGCAGAACCUUACCUGGGUUUGACAUCCCGCGGAGACGGUAGAGAUAUCGUUGGCCCUUCGGGGACGCGGAGACAGGUGCUGCAUGGCUGUCGUCAGCUCGUGUCGUAAGAUGUUCGGUUAAGUCCGGCAACGAGCGCAACCCUUAUUCUUAGUUGCUACUAUUAAGUUAAGCACUCUAAGGAGACUGCCGGUGUUAAACCGGAGGAAGGCGGGGAUGACGUCAAGUCCUCAUGGCCCUUACGUCCAGGGCUACACACGUACUACAAUGGUGGAGACAAACCGACCCGAUGCCGCGAGGCCUAGGAAAUCGGAAAAACACCACCUCAGUUCGGAUUGGAGUCUGCAACUCGACUCCAUGAAGUUGGAAUCGCUAGUAAUCGCAGAUCAGCACGCUGCGGUGAAUACGUUCCCGGGCCUUGUACACACCGCCCGU